GGACAACCUACCCUGAAGUGAGGGAUAAUCCCGGGAAACUGGGGAUAAUACCUCAUAGACUAUGAAUGCUGGAAUGCUUUGUAGUUCAAAGGUCCGCCGCUUCAGGAUGGGUCUGCGGCCGAUUAGGUUGUUGUUGGGGUAACGGCCCAACAAGCCUGUAAUCGGUACGGGUUGUGGGAGCAAGAGCCCGGAGAUGGAUUCUGAGACACGAAUCCAGGCCCUACGGGGCGCAGCAGGCGCGAAAACUUUGCAAUGCGAGCAAUCGUGACAAGGGAACUCCGAGUGCCUGUAAAAUCAGGCUGUCCGCCAGUUUAAAUAACUGGCGAAGAAAGGGCCGGGCAAGACCGGUGCCAGCCGCCGCGGUAAUACCGGCGGCUCGAGUGGUGGCCACUAUUACUGGGCUUAAAGCGUUCGUAGCUGGCUUGUUAAGUCUCUGGGGAAAUCUUCCGGCUCAACCGGAAGGCGUCUCAGGGAUACUGGCAGGCUAGGGACCGGAAGAGGUGAGAGGUACUCCAGGGGUAGGAGUGAAAUCCUGUAAUCCUUGGGGGACCACCUGUGGCGAAGGCGUCUCACCAGGA
rnacentral:rRNA from 1 species